rnacentral:rRNA from 1 species
AGAGUUUGAUCCUGGCUCAGGAUGAACGCUGGCGGCGUGCCUAAUACAUGCAAGUCGAGCGAACGGACGAGAAGCUUGCUUCUCUGAUGUUAGCGGCGGACGGGUGAGUAACACGUGGAUAACCUACCUAUAAGACUGGGAUAACUUCGGGAAACCGGAGCUAAUACCGGAUGAUAUUUUGAACCGCAUGGUUCAAAAGUGAAAGACGGUCUUGCUGUCACUUAUAGAUGGAUCCGCGCUGCAUUAGCUAGUUGGUAAGGUAACGGCUUACCAAGGCAACGAUGCAUAGCCGACCUGAGAGGGUGAUCGGCCACACUGGAACUGAGACACGGUCCAGACUCCUACGGGAGGCAGCAGUAGGGAAUCUUCCGCAAUGGGCGAAAGCCUGACGGAGCAACGCCGCGUGAGUGAUGAAGGUCUUCGGAUCGUAAAACUCUGUUAUUAGGGAAGAACAUAUGUGUAAGUAACUGUGCACAUCUUGACGGUACCUAAUCAGAAAGCCACGGCUAACUACGUGCCAGCAGCCGCGGUAAUACGUAGGUGGCAAGCGUUAUCCGGAAUUAUUGGGCGUAAAGCGCGCGUAGGCGGUUUUUUAAGUCUGAUGUGAAAGCCCACGGCUCAACCGUGGAGGGUCAUUGGAAACUGGAAAACUUGAGUGCAGAAGAGGAAAGUGGAAUUCCAUGUGUAGCGGUGAAAUGCGCAGAGAUAUGGAGGAACACCAGUGGCGAAGGCGACUUUCUGGUCUGUAACUGACGCUGAUGUGCGAAAGCGUGGGGAUCAAACAGGAUUAGAUACCCUGGUAGUCCACGCCGUAAACGAUGAGUGCUAAGUGUUAGGGGGUUUCCGCCCCUUAGUGCUGCAGCUAACGCAUUAAGCACUCCGCCUGGGGAGUACGACCGCAAGGUUGAAACUCAAAGGAAUUGACGGGGACCCGCACAAGCGGUGGAGCAUGUGGUUUAAUUCGAAGCAACGCGAAGAACCUUACCAAAUCUUGACAUCCUUUGACAACUCUAGAGAUAGAGCCUUCCCCUUCGGGGGACAAAGUGACAGGUGGUGCAUGGUUGUCGUCAGCUCGUGUCGUGAGAUGUUGGGUUAAGUCCC